rnacentral:rRNA from 1 species
UCGGGAAUUUUGGGCAAUGGGCGAAAGCCUGACCCAGCAACGCCGCGUGGGGGAUGAAGUAUUUUGGUAUGUAAACCUCGAAAGAAUGGGAAGAAUAAAUGACGGUACCAUUUAUAAGCUCCGGCUAACUACGUGCCAGCAGCCGCGGUAAUACGUAGGGAGCAAGCGUUGUUCGGAUUUACUGGGCGUAAAGGGCGCGUAGGCGGCGCGGUAAGUCACUUGUGAAAUCUCUGAGCUUAACUCAGAACGGCCAAGUGAUACUGCUGUGCUAGAGUGCGGAAGAGGCAACCGGAAUUCUUGGUGUAGCGGUGAAAUGCGUAGAUAUCAAGAGGAACACCUGAGGCGAAGGCGGGUUGCUGGGCCGACACUGACGCUGAUGCGCGAAAGCCAGGGGAGCAAACG